rnacentral:lncRNA from 1 species
UCUAGCUCACCUCUCUGGUAUUGUUCUUAUAUUCAUCUGAUUAAUCUAGUUCUUGCCAGUUCUUCUUGAACUUCUUGUUAGAUCUCGAGCCUGUAUUUCUAUGUCCAUGAUACGUCCUCACAAAUACACAAUUGUUACCUAUCUAAAAACUACUUAACAAAAUUCUACAAAGUUACUAUUUCCUCAGACCCAUCCAAUUGAUCAUUUGCUGCAUUAUCUAAUAUGGAUUCCACCGUUUCUAGUUCUAAAUUCAAAUCUUCUUCCUCCUCUAAUCCGUCCAUUGACUCCUCCCUUAACUGGUUUGAGAGAUCUUCAUUAUACUCUCCCAAUUCAGGGACUUGAGCCUCCAGUUUCAAGAUUUGGGCAUCAUGGAGUUCCAAUUGAUGCUGUUGCUGACUCAUCCAUUCUGGAACAUCUUCAAUUGAUGCUUGUGAUCGGCUCCUCAUUG